UAUUUUGUGAGAUUUCUCCAUUACUUUAUUUUCUAAGGGAAAAAGUCCCCUGGCUAAUGAACAGAUGUUCCCUAUGCAUUUAAAACUCAUGCCCAAUCCACACUUAUUAUUCUCAGGAGGGCCCUGGGAGGUAGGCAGCAGGCAGGCUCUGGACUGACUUCCUUUUUUAUAGGGGCCAGAGGUGGGUGGGGGUUAGCAAUCAUUUUUAAAGUCAGAUGCAAUUAGAAUACAAUGAUAUUAGAAUCACUAUUUAAAGUCCCUUAAGUGUCAUCUUGACGACAGACAAACAUAUCUCUGUACAGGUCAGCUCACCCAGACAGCUUCCUCCAGCUCUGAAACAGAUCGAUUGAGCACCAGAUGAAGUUGUCAUGGAUGGGAGAUGUGAUGUACAAGAGGCUCAUCUCUGAAUUAAGAGAAGCAUGCACAUAUGAAGCACUGCCCCUGAAUAGUUCCCAUUAAAAGCAAAACUUACUUGAGUUCUCUCCCCAAAGUCAAAUGUAAUCGGACAGGCAGACCCUCCUGAAAUUCUGAGCAGAAAUUGCUGCUACAUUUGAAUCAGAUUCUAAGAGGUGAGAAAUGCUUCUUUUUUUUCCCAACUUAUAUUUUAAGUUCAGGGGUACGUGCACAGGGUGUGGAGGUUUGUUACAUAGGUAAACGUGUGCCAUGGUGGUUUGCUGCACAGAUCAUCCCAUCAUCUAGGUAUUAAGCCUGGCAUCCGUUAGCUACUCUUCCUGAUGCUCUUCCUCCUCCCACCCCCAGUGUGUGUUGUUCCCCCCAUGUGUCCACGUGUUCUCAUCAUUCAGCUCCCACUUGUAAGUUAAAACAUGCAAUAUUUGGUUUUCUGUCUCUGCGUUAAGUUUGCCGAGGAUAAUCGCUUCCAGCUCCAUCCAUAUCCCUGCAAAGGACAUGAUCUCAUUCCUUUUUAUGGCUGCAUAGUAUUCCAUGGUGUAUAUGUACCAAAUUUUCUUUAUCCAGUCUAUCAGUGAUGGGCAUUUGGGUUGAUUCCAUGUCUUUGCUACUGUGAAUAGUGCUGUAAUGAACAUAUGUGUGCAUGUAUCUUUAUAAUAGAAUGACUUCUGUUUCUUUGGGUAUAUACUUAGCAAUGGGAUUGCUGGGUCAAAUGGCAUUUCUGCCUCUAGGUCUCUGAGGAAUCACCACACCGUCUUCCACAAUGGUUGAACUAAUUUGCACUCCCACCAAUGGCAUAAAAGCAUUCCUUUUUCUCUACAAUCUCACCAGCAUCUGUUGUUUCUUGACUUUUUAGUAAUAGCCAUUCUGACUGGUGUGAGAUGGUAUCUCAUUGUGGUUUUGAUUUGCAUUUCUCUAAUGAUCAGUGAUGUUGAGCUUUUUUUCAUGUUUGUUGGCCACAUAUAUGUCUUCUUUUGAGACGUGUGUGUUCACAUCCUUUGCCCACUUUUUAAUGGGAUUGUUUGUUUAUUUCUUGUAAAUUUGUUUAAGUGCCUUAUAGACACUGGAUGUUAGACCUUUGUCAGAUGGAUAGGUUGCAAAAAUGAGAAACGUUUCUUAUAUACACCUGUGGAUCAGUGCCGGUCACAUGCCCCAGGCCGUGAUUCUUCAUCAGUGCUAAUGCGUUCUUCUAGUGGACAUCUCAGUGUUGACGUGUUCAGAGUUGUGAGGGACUUGAGUGGUGAUUAAGCAAAGGAGGAGGUCCUGGCAGCAACAAUCUGGGCCAGAAAGUGGAAACAGCCUCGUGAAUUCUGAACUUUUCAGGUUAUAUCAAUGGAGGUGCUUUACUCUUGACACACACACACACACACACACACACACACAACUGUACCAGGCAAGGUUUUGGCAAAUAUAUGUCACAAUUGCACUGUGAUACAAAGAAGCAAAAUUCCAAGUUUAUAACUUUCUCAUCCUUCUAUAGAAUACAUGCAUUUCCCUAAACACAUAUAUUAUUAAUAUCCCAUAAAAUAUUAACUCCAUCUAAAAAUGCCUUAUUAACAACAUAAUGAGUGCAAUACACACAUCGGUUUUCUCUAGACACUUUAUUUAGAAACCCCGAGCUCUUUUGUUUUUGAUAUCAGUGAAAAGAGAUAAUAUAGAAAUGUUUAUUUGUAAUGAUCAAGAAAGUUCAUGAUCUUGUAGUCAAGGAGUCAACACAGAAUCAACAGUUUGGUCCAAAAAGUAAGAUUUCAAAGCAAAGAUUUUUCCCCAAAGUUGAGAAAACACAGAGGUACUGUGAAGCAGCACAUCUUUAGAGAUGCACUAUGUGUUGUUUUGUUUGGUUUUGUUUGUGGGCACUUUCUAAAAUGGGAUUUAAAGUCCAGGGACCAUAAUUAGGCCUACCACAAAUGAUGUUAUUGUUGUCUUUAAUGUAUGGCCUUAAAUACAUCAUAAGAAGGUUCACAGUGACAGUUUACUCAUUGCUGUGAGCUUGUGGACACCAUUGUCUGCUUUAAAACAAUGCUCUGGCUUUGCUCUUUGAAGACAAGACCUGAAAAGUCAGCUGUGUGUAUUUUCGUAGAUCAUCAAUAUUAGAAGGUGCACAUCGUAAUUCAAAUCUCUGAAGAGGAAGAAGGAAGACAUUGACUUCAGUCUUCAUUUGGUCCUGUUAUGGGACUUCCAGACACUGAAAAACUCAUCCCUACAGCCGGCUGGAGGAUAUUGUCCUGGAAGGGACAGCUUUCACAUAUGGUUUGGAUUCAAUUAGCCAGCUCCUCUGAGAGCCACUAGAGUACCAUUUAGGACAUUGCUUCUUGAAUUCUCAUUUGCAGCCUUGCAAAUAAUUUUCAAAGGUCAUUAGACCAUAAGGAGUUUUCAUUACCCUUCAUUCAUGUCAACAGCAAACACUUACUGACUGAGCGUCCACUUGGUGCCCUCUGCUAGGUGCUUCCAGGUGCAUCCAAAAAGGGAUGCAGUAUAAAAAAUUAAAAUGACUAGAAACAGCAACACAUGGAAGGUAAAAAUCUUUCUAAUAAGAGCAAUGGAAGAAACAUUUCUACAAAUGUUAAGCUGUAAGUCAAAUGUUUUUAAAAAGAAAGAAAAGACAAAUUUGAUUAGACAAAAAUGAGAAACUGCUUGCUGUGGUCUGAAUGUGUCCCCCCAAAUUCAUAUGUUGAACCUUAAUUGCCAAUGUGAGAGUAUUAGGAGGUAGGGCCUUUAGGAGGUGAUUAAGUCUCUGCCUUCACAAAUGGGAUUAGUGCCCUUAUAAAAGAGGUGCAAGGAAGCUGCUCAUCCAUUCCACCACAUGAGGAUGCAUCCAAAUGUGCCAUCUGUGAAGCAGAGAAUGCCCUCACUAGACAUCAAACUAGACAUCAAACCUAAAUUGGCCUUGAUCCUGGGCUUCCCGCCCUCCAGAACUGUGAGCAAUAAAUUUUUAUUUUUUAUAAAUUAUCCAGUCUAAGGUAUCUUGUUAUAGCAGCCCAAACAUACUGAGGCACUCUUGAAUGUCAAAAGACACUGUAAACAAAAUUUAAAAGGCAAAUGGAAAAAUGGGGCAAAUAUUUAAAACCAUAAAGGGCAAGAUGCUUUAUGAAAGUGUCAUAUAGCUCAAUAAAGGAAAAACAGUCCAACAGAAACAUGGUUCUGGAACAUAAGCCCUUCACAGAAGAAAUACAAAUCACUGACAAACAUACAAAAUGCCAAGAAUAGCUAGUAUUUAAAGAAAUACAAUAAAAAUAAUGAAACAUUUAAGCCUGUCAGAUUUUCCUCUUCUUUUUCAUUCUUUUUUCUUUUUUUUAAGAUUCAAAGCCAUUAGUGAAAGCACAUGAGACACUGUGGAGUUGGAGGUGUGGGUCAUCGCCUGCCUGUUCAUGCCCUGUUCUAGGUAAUCUGUCCUCUUCCCAGCCUACCCUACCCACCCAUUACUUCUCUGACCUACACUCACCAUGGAGAGCUGCUCAUCAGCAAGGGCCUGGAGUGUGGGGCCAUACACUCUAGCAAAGCAAAGGCUCCCCGGGAGCUGAGCGAAAGAACUCAGAGCCUUGCUAAGAAGCUACUCGCCCGCUAACUGGAGACUGGAGCAGAGGAGAUGGCUGCAGAGACAACACACACAGACAUAGCGCCUGGGCUCUGUAGGUGGGCAAGGCCAGGCUGUGCUUCCUCCAACUGGAGGCACUGAGCUCCCCCAACAAGCCUACAAUGGACCCUGCAUCUCACCUGAGCUGCUUGGAGCUGGGCUCUGUUUUAGCCACUGACAGAUCCGUGCUCUUGGAUUGCUAGGGGUACAGCGCAUUGGUGGAACGGAACUUUUCCAGGGCACGUGGCAAUUUGUAUUAGCAGCUUUCAGUUGGGAGUUGUUUUUCAACCCAGCAAUUCCCAGUAAGGGAAUUUAUCAAAGAUAUGACUAAAGAUUUGUGUCCAGGGACACUUACUGAAAUGUUAUUUUUUAUUAGUGAAAAAUUGGAAACAAUUUAAAAUCCCCACAGGAAGGAAAUUGUUUCUCUCCAUAAGAUGGUAUACAAAGGUCAUGGUAAGAUAUCCAUGGUGUGGCCUUGCAAAGCCUGUUGCUGAAAAAGCGAAAUAAUAUGAACCCUAAAUUGGCAGAAGAUGAUGCUUUUAUGCAUAAAAAACACUGAAAGUGUAUCAUCUAAAAUCUAUUAAUCUUUUAUUUUGAAAUAAUAUCACUUGUAUAGGUAAGUUGCAAAAACAGUACAAGCAGUGCUCAUGGGUCUUCACCUCAGCUCAACAAUUGUUGACACCUCGCAACGUUUGAUUUAUUGUUCUCUCUCUAUACAUACACAUUCACUCACAUAUAAUUCUUACAACAUGACUAUAACAAUUUUACACAACAUAUACAUAUAUAAUAUGUAUGUAUAUGAAUUAUAUACCUUAUAUAGUUUUAUAUAAUAUUGUAUAUUAUAUAUAUUUUAUAUAUGUGUGAACAUGUAUGUUAUUCAAAAUCUAACUAUGCAUGUUAUUUAAAAUCACAUGCAUUAUUUUUCUGAACCAUUUGAUGGUAAGUUGCCGAAAUCAUAUGCUUUUACCCCUCAAUAGUGACCUUCAAAUGUUAUUUAUAUUUUUUGCCUCUUUCGUUAUUCUGUAUUUCCCAUUUUCUGUCUUUGUAAUUAGAUAAAAAUAAUAACAUACGUUAUCUCAAGAAGUAAAUCACAACUAUUUACUUCUGAAAUUCUUUAAGUA